UAAUAUAUUCACCCUCAUAAUCUCCAAUUAUAAUACUAUGCCCUCACAGCUUUCAGCACACAAUUACCUUCAUUCCAAUCACUAGAAUUCUUCACACAGAACUGCCAUUCACAUUACGAUGUUUCUCACGAACAUAGACUCAUUCUCUCUGCUUAACUACAAUCAGAUUUCAACAUUCAAUCUUUCUUCUUUUCAAAUAAUACCAAUCACAUUUUCAUUCCAUAAUUCACUUCACAAUAUUCAAAAAUUCACAAUCUUCUUAUUUAAAGAAAAUAACAAACAAAAGAAAAGAGAUAGCACCAAGCUUACCCCGGCUCACAACUAUCACAGCAAUGGCACCUUAAUUAACUUCUACAACUCUUAUAUACUUUUUCCUGAUUUUCUAGAUUCUAAUCGUAAUUCUGUAAUUAACUACUAUUAAUAACUAAAUCACUCAUCCAUCCUCCUAAAUUUCCUAUUAUAUGAAUUAUUAAUAUAUUUUACCAAUAUCUUUCAAAAAUGAAUUAAUAUCUAUUCUACAUAGCUCCACUCCUAUCUGUGCAGUGUCCUCGCAAACACUCAAUUGAUACCUAUCUAAAAAUUAUCUAAAAAAACUCUACAAAAAUUGCGAUCCCUCUGGCCUAUCUAAUUAAUCAAUUGUUACAGUAUCUGUUAUUGGUUCCAUUGAUUCUAGUUCCAACUGCAAAUCUUCAUCCUCUUCCAAUCCUUCCAUCGGCUCCUGCCUCAAUCGAGCUGAAAGAUCUUCAUUAUACUCGC
rnacentral:lncRNA from 1 species